rnacentral:rRNA from 1 species
CGUAGGGGGCAAGCGUUGUCCGGAAUCAUUGGGCGUAAAGAGCGCGUAGGCGGGCCCUGUAAGUCCGCUGGUGAAAGUCAAGGGCUCAACCCUUGGAUGCCGGUGGAUACUGCAGGGCUAGAGUCCGGAAGAGGCGAGUGGAAUUCCUGGUGGUAGCGGUGAAAUGCGCGAUAUCAGGAGGACAGCCGAUGGCGAAGGCAGGGUCUCCUGGGCAUUAACUGACGCUGAGGAGCGAAAGCUGGGAGCGAACGGAUAGAUACCCCGUGU